rnacentral:rRNA from 1 species
AUGAACUUGCGAUCUGUUUGUGCUUCAUCAUCUGGUCAUUGGGAUGAUCAGUCUCUUAUCGGUUCCCAAUGGACUCGUUCCCUUGAAGCAACAUCACCCUGUUGUAUCCUGAGUUCGCCCCUCUUGUGUGCCCUCCGAGUUCUCUCCCCGGGCACUGGCGGCUUUUACAUACAUGUACAUGUCACACACACAAAAUCCCUGUUGAUACUCUCUUGGGUUUUGAUUGUGACAACCGUGAUGAGCCCAUUUUACAGUUACAGACCUGUAAUGACUCCUGCGGAAAUGAUCGCAUGGUCAAAGAACAUCUAA